rnacentral:rRNA from 1 species
AUUGAACGCUGGCAGCAUGCUUUACACAUGCAAGUCGAACGGUAACAGGCCGCAAGGUGCCGACGAGUGGCGAACGGGUGAGUAAUGCAUCGGAACGUGCCCAGUCGUGGGGGAUAACGCAGCGAAAGCUGCGCUAAUACCGCAUACGAUCUCUGGAUGAAAGCGGGGGACCGAAAGGCCUCGCGCGAUUGGAGCGGCCGAUGUCAGAUUAGGUAGUUGGUGGGGUAAAGGCUCACCAAGCCAACGAUCUGUAGCUGGUCUGAGAGGACGACCAGCCACACUGGGACUGAGACACGGCCCAGACUCCUACAGGAGGCAGCAGUGGGGAAUUUUGGACAAUGGGCGCAAGCCUGAUCCAGCAAUGCCGCGUGCAGGAAGAAGGCCUUCGGGUUGUAAACUGCUUUUGUACGGAACGAAACGGUCCUGGUUAAUACCUGGGGCUAAUGACGGUACCGUAAGAAUAAGCACCGGCUAACUACGUGCCAGCCGCCGCGGUAA